AAAGAAAUUAUACCACCACCACCGGUGACAAAUGGUUUGAAAGUUGUCGGACUUUGAAAGGUCCUUGGAAGCCCCGAUGUGCCCGCAUGCCACUACAGCACCAGCACAUUAUUGGGGGGAAUGGGAUUGCAUGGAUAUCAAAUUAAAGACGGCCCCAACUGUGUUUAUACCCCGCCCUGAAGUUUGUUACCCUUUGCGGACGCCACUGCCAUGUGAUAACCGGAUGGUC